UAUCGACUUUAAUUUGUAUCCAUCUAAAGGAAAUUGUUUUCGUUUUAGAUGUACAGAAGACGUGCUGAGAUUUAAUUGAGAAUUUUUAGCAGAUUUUCAGGCUGGAUUUAACACAAACAAACCGUCGAAAGAAUAGCCGAGAACUUCUAAUUGGCUAACACAACUAUCAAUUAAGCUUGUCAAGUAUCAUGAACUUAUUUUUUCCAGGAUUUUUGUUAUUAUAAUAUUGUUUGUACUGACAUUAAAAGCUAUAAAACAACAACACUUUAAUAAAUAAAAUAUUUGUAUAACAAUUAACCCGUCGAGUCUAUUUAUCACGGUGGGCGGAGCUACGCCGUCAGGCCAGUCCAUUGGCUACGGUUCUGAAUGACAGCACUAAGAACACAUUUCUCUGAUUGGUCGAGAGAUUUGUCGAGUAGACGGAGCCAACCUGAGAUUCGACCUCUUGUUUCGACACUUUGCUUUAGAUCCUGCAUCAAAAUACAAGACUAGAGAAUAGAGUCAAAUGUAAUUCGAAUUUAAACAGAAAUUUGUCUAAAUAUUUGAACGAUUACAUUGUUUUAAUUUGACCAGUAAGUGGCGGUAACGCACUCAUAAAACAGCGAAAUACGAAUCACGUUACACAAGGACACAUCGAGCAAACCCGCCAAAAAACCUGAGGGGGAUCAUCACAUACAUGUAAGAUUUGACAUGUCUUGUAGUUCUUCGGGUAUUUGUGUUCGUUUCCUGACUAAAAUUGUCGGGUUGAAAAUUAUGAAUUUAAAAUGUACAUUUGUGAUUUAAAAAUACAGAUUUUAUAGCACGAUUUAUAUUAUGACCAGCAUUCAGUUUACACAUGAACAAUGACAAUAACGCUAAACGUGCUAACGUUGAAGGACGUAUAUUGCAAAUACUGACAAAACGUUUUGAAUCAAUUAAUUGUUUCAUUUAGCAUCUUAAGUGUGGAAGCAUAUUGGUUGCUAUAUUUACGGUGGCCGGAAAGUGCAAAACAACAUUACGAAGUGUGAAAAACUUUUUUUCGAAGCUCGAGACAAAUUUACAUUUUGGAAAACAUUUUUACCUAUCAUAAAACACAAUUACAUGGGAAAAACACUUUUACCAAGUACGAAACAAAUUUACAUUUUAGAAAACAAAUUAAGAAGACGCAAAACACUUUCACCAGUCCCGAAACAAAUUUACAAUGACAGAUUCUUCACGGAAAGGGAAUGUACCACACACCGGAAGUGACGCGGUAAAAGGUGUUGUUUUUGGUGAGCGCGGUAAAUUCGUGUUGUGGUUGUGGAGUAAAUGGCGUAAAUAAACUUUAUGGUGACAGAACAUGGACUGCGGCCGAGGGAUGUUUUGCCCGUUUUGUGGCAAACACGUGAGCAGCUUAACGCGGUUUUGCUUUACGUGUGGUCGGUGUUUGGAGUUUCUAAAGAACGCGGACCAGACGGAAACACCAGACACACUGCAUCAAUGUGCUCAAUAUAUUAACGAGGGCCACUCGUACGCUGUAAUCGUGGACAUGAUGUCAAGUCUACACGGUGUAAACAUCAGCUUGAGGACUCUUAAAAGUAAACUGAACGAAGCCGGGUUGUACCGCAGAAAGGAUUAUUCCUCUCCAAACUCCGUGAGUAACGCCAUCAGAUUGGAACUUCGUGGACCUGGACAACUAUUUGGCUACCGCACGAUGUGGCAGGUCUCAGUUCUGGAUGGAGUUAUUUGCAGACCUUAGAGAAGCCGGAUACUUAAACGGGAAUCAUGAGCAACAGUUUGAGGGAUUUUGAAAUAAGGGAUGAUGACAUUUCUUUGUUGAUUUGUCAUUACCUUGCUGAUGUCUGUACAGGGCAGAGAGUCUGCAGAAUGGGAAAGAUUACAGCGAGACUCUUCUCCUCCUUUACACGGGCACAGAGGACUGCAAGAGAAAGGAAAAGUGUGCAUGAGUUAAGAAAAAGUUCACAACAAAAUGAAACAAACUGUCUUUCAUCAUUUACACAUCCUUAGAACUUUCUUUCUUGAACACGAGAAAAUUGAACACAAACAGUUUUAUAUAUAUAUAUAUAUAUUUUUUUUUGCACGAAGUAACAUAUACAUAACAAACUGCCGAGGCUCUGCAGUAAUUAUCACACAAGAAAAGAAUACAGUUGUAAUUUUCAGAGAAAACGGUAAAACAGCUUCUUUAUUUGUACUAUAGAAAAUAGCAUGAAGAUCAUUUUAAAUGUCCACUUCUAAUAUUGUUCAAUAAGAGAGUUUUUUAUACCAA